GAUGAACGCUGGCGGUGUGCCUAAUACAUGCAAGUCGAGCGAACAGACGAGGAGCUUACUCCUCUGACGUUAGCGGCGGACGGGUGAGUAACACGUGGAUAACCUACCUAUAAGACUGGGAUAACUUCGGGAAACCGGAUCUAAUACCGGAUAACAUGUUGAACCGCAUGGUUCAACAGUGAAAGACGGUCUUGCUGUCACUUAUAGCUGGAUCCGCGUCGCAUUAGCUAGUUGGUAAGGUAACGGCUUACCAAGGCAACGAUGCGUAGCCGACCUGAGAGGGUGAUCGGCCACACUGGAACUGAGACACGGUCCAGACUCCUACGGGAGGCAGCAGUAGGGAAUCUUCGGCAAUGGGCGAAAGCCUGACGGAGCAACGCCGCGUGAGUGAAGAAGGUCUUCGGAUCGUAAAGCUCUGUUAUUGGGGAAGAACAGAUGUGUAAGUAAAUAUGCACGUCUUGACGGUACCUAAUCAGAAAGCCACGGCUAACUACGUG
rnacentral:rRNA from 1 species